rnacentral:rRNA from 1 species
AGCAGCCGCGGUAAUUCCAGCUCCAAUAGCGUAUAUUAAAGUUGUUGCAGUUAAAAAGCUCGUAGUUGAAUUUCGGGGUCAGCAGGUCGGUCGUGCCACUGGUAUGCACUGGCCUUGCUGAUUCCUCCCUCUUGAUGAGCCGUAAUGCCAUUAAUUUGGUGUUGCGGGGAAUCAGGACUGUUACUUUGAAAAAAUUAGAGUGUUUAAAGCAGGCAAGCGCUUGAAUACAUUAGCAUGGAAUAAUGAAAUAGGACGUUCGAUCCUAUUUUGUUGGUUUCUAGGAUUGACGUAAUGAUUAAUAGGGAUAGUUGGGGGCAUUAGUAUUCAAUUGUCAGAGGUGAAAUUCUUGGAUUUAUUGAAGACUAGCUACUGCGAAGGCAUUUGCCAAGGAUGUUUUCAUUAAUCAAGAACGAAAGUUAGGGGAUCGAAGACGAUCAGAUACCGUCGUAGUCUUAACCAUAAACUAUGCCGACUAGGGAUCGGAUGAUGUUAAUUUUUUAAUGACUCAUUCGGCGCCUUACG